CUUAUGUCGUGACUCAGUCUAAAUAUAUGAAGUUGAAUCGACAUGGUCAAGUGCUAACUAAAUUUCACUGUAAAUCUCUAGUCAAAGAGAAAUGGACGAAGAAAAAAGGAAGAAGAUUUUAUGUGAGGAACUAAACACGUUACGGACAUACCAGAAGUUAGAACGAACAAAAAUGUCAAUAACGAUUAACGAAUUGAUUUCUUACUGCGAACAAUGUAAAUCAGCGGACAUGCUAUUAGUUCCGUAUGAAGAACGUCCAAUAGGACCGAAACGACAACGCACGUGUUAUGUGAAUAUUUUCUUUGGGGGUUGUUUAACUGGACUGUGCGGCUGCGCUAAAUGAUCACGUGACAUGUUUACCAGCCUAUUGAUAGAUUGCAUUGUAGUACAUAAUUUAAAAAUGGUUUAUUUCUUCA